UAGCCGUAAACGAUACUCGCUAGGUGUCGGCCACGGUGCGACCGUUGUCGGUGCCGUAGGGAAGCCGUGAAGCGGGCCACCUGGGAAGUACGGCCGCAAGGCUGAAACUUAAAGGAAUUGGCGGGGGAGCACAACAACGGGUGGAGCUUGCGGUUUAAUUGGAUUCAACGCCGGAAAUCUUACCGGGACCGACAGCAACAUGAAGGCCAAGCUGAAGACUUUGCCGGAUUAGCUGAGAGGAGGUGCAUGGCGUAGUCGUGU
rnacentral:rRNA from 1 species